rnacentral:rRNA from 1 species
GACAAACGCUGGCGGCGUGCCUAAUACAUGCAAGUCGAGCGAAUCAUGAGGUGCUUGCACCUCUUGGUUAGCGGCGGACGGGUGAGUAACACGUGGGCAACCUGCCUGGAAGACUGGGAUAACUUCGGGAAACCGGAGCUAAUACCGGAUAAUCCUUUUCCUCUCAUGAGGAAAAGCUGAAAGUCGGUUUACGCUGACACUUACAGAUGGGCCCGCGGCGCAUUAGCUAGUUGGUGAGGUAACGGCUCACCAAGGCGACGAUGCGUAGCCGACCUGAGAGGGUGAUCGGCCACACUGGGACUGAGACACGGCCCAGACUCCUACGGGAGGCAGCAGUAGGGAAUCUUCCGCAAUGGACGAAAGUCUGACGGAGCAACGCCGCGUGAGCGAUGAAGGCCUUCGGGUCGUAAAGCUCUGUUGUUAGGGAAGAACAAGUACCGGAGUAACUGCCGGUACCUUGACGGUACCUAACCAGAAAGCCACGGCUAACUACGUGCCAGCCGCCGCCGUAAAAC